GACGAACGCUGGCGGCGUGCUUAACACAUGCAAGUCGAACGGAAAGGCCCUGCUUUUGUGGGGUGCUCGAGUGGCGAACGGGUGAGUAACACGUGAGUAACCUGCCCUUGACUUUGUGAUAACUUCAGGAAACUGGGGCUAAUACCGGAUAGGAGCUCCUGCUGCAUGGUGGGGGUUGGAAAGUUUCGGCGGUUGGGGAUGGACUCGCGGCUUAUCAGCUUGUUGGUGGGGUAGUGGCUUACCAAGGCUUUGACGGGUAGCCGGCCUGAGAGGGUGACCGGCCACAUUGGGACUGAGAGACGGCCCAGACUCCUACGGGAGGCAGCAGUGGGGAAUAUUGCACAAUGGGCGGAAGCCUGAUGCAGCAACGCCGCGUGCGGGAUGACGGCCUUCGGGUUGUAAACCGCUUUCGCCUGUGACGAAGCGUGAGUGACGGUAAUGGGUAAAGAAGCACCGGCUAACUACGUG
rnacentral:rRNA from 1 species